rnacentral:rRNA from 1 species
AACGAACGCUGGCGGCAGGCCUAACACAUGCAAGUCGAGCGCCCAGCAAUGGGAGCGGCAGACGGGUGAGUAACGCGUGGGAACCUUCCUGAUAGUACGGAAUAGCCCAGGGAAACUUGGAGUAAUACCGUAUACGCCCGUAAGGGGAAAGAUUUAUCGCUAUCAGAUGGGCCCGCGUAGGAUUAGCUAGUUGGUGAGGUAAUGGCUCACCAAGGCGACGAUCCUUAGCUGGUUUGAGAGAAUGACCAGCCACACUGGGACUGAGACACGGCCCAGACUCCUACGGGAGGCAGCAGUGGGGAAUCUUGGACAAUGGGCGCAAGCCUGAUCCAGCCAUGCCGCGUGAGUGACGAAGGUCUUCGGAUUGUAAAGCUCUUUUGCCAGGGACGAUAAUGACGGUACCUGGAGAAUAAGCCCCGGCUAACUUCGUGCCAGCAGCCGCGGUAAAAC